rnacentral:lncRNA from 1 species
UGGCCUCCUUGCAGGAGAAAGGCCCGAAGUUAAUUCCGGCUGGAAUGACCCGUGUCCUCUUUCCUCCUAACUUGAGGAUCUCGCCCCGCAGUGCACAGGAAUUAACUUCGUUUGUGGACACUUGGUUUGAUCCUGCCAAACGUCUGUUCUCCAUCCCUUUGAGACAGUUCUUACCUUUCCCUUCCCCCACCUUGCCUCCGUCACCUGUGAUUUGAAGGAGGCUGAUCCAUCCUCCAUCCCAGCUCCUGUAGCCCAGGCCUGGUCAGCAGCAGCCUUGGCCCUGGACUCAGUGAUGGGUUAGAGAUGGUCUCACGUUCCCUGCCAGGCCAGGAGGCUGAAUUCCAGAACUUUGUGGGAACUGGCAGAAGCAGGGAGCUCUCUCUCCACUGCAGUUGGGAGGCUGGUGCGGUGUCAGCCUGGGAUGGCUGAGAGCAUCACACAGAGAAAACCCUGCAAGUAAAGGCAACAGAUGAAAGCAAGUUAAAGCUGGAGAGAGCCUGAGAGAGGAUGGAAACGACUGCCCUUGAGGUCUGGACAGAGGCUCCCGUUACACGAAAGGGCGCAUGAGUUUUAUUUGUUUUUUCACCUAAGCCAGCUUCAGUUGGGUUUGUCACUUGCCACAAAAAGGGCACUGACAAAUGUAGUUUAAGAAGAGAAGCUGGAAGCAGCAAAUGCUUCGCAAAACCCAGGAACAUUUGCCCUUUCACUUGCUGGAUUCCAUGCUGUCGCUGGAGCGAGAGCCUCUCCAGUCCUGCCCAGCUGAGUCAUCACUGCUGACGCCAGUGGAGGAUCUGGCAGGAGCCCUCUGCUCCUCAUUUGGGCGCCCUCAGGGACAUACACCCAGGGGUGUUCCAGGAAAUUUAGCAGGGAAGAUUAAUUAUCCUCCAUGGAGCAGGAAAUCCCACCGCCUUUCAACAGCCAGGAACAGCAGCUGCUAAACAGAAUUCACUGCAGGACAGUCUGCUUCCCUCCCAGGCAUUUGCACGGGGCCUUCCCAGUCAGAAGGCUGGGCAGGAGCUUGUGCAGAGAGAGCUGGAAUUCUGGGAAAACACGUUCCAUCACCAUGGCUGAUUCGGAGUAAAAGACACAUUAACUAAGAAGCUCAGUCUGCAACCCCGUGUGCAAGAAAGUGACUUUGAAAUCGUCUUUCUAUAAUGGAAAUGCACUUCCGUUUCUUUCUCCCAUCUGCGUCCUUGGUGGAGAGGUCAUCCCAGCCAGGUCAGGGUCUCCUGGAAAAGGUGUGUGUGGAGCUGGCGGCAGCUGCAGCGAGGGCUGAUUCCUCACCGGCUGGCUCUGUGCAUCCUCCCAGCCCUGGUCCCCAGCCCUCCCGAGGACAGUUCUGCACACUCCCUGAGACCCUUUACAGGAGCUCAUGUUGACCUAAUCAGCCAAUGUCAUCGUUUGUUCUUAAGCAAGGACUCCUCUUGUGUCCCUCCCUUGGUUCCAGUCUGAUAAAGCCUGAGUCAUUUUGGAUCUUUAUAAAUAACCAGGAGCCACUAUACAAAUGUUCUUGGAGAGCAAUGUACCCUGAGGGAACAAAUUAGCAUAAAGGGAAAAGUUUAGCAAUUAUAAUAAUGACCAUAAUGACAUUCAUUGAGUGCUUGCUAUGUGCCAGGCUAAACUCUGUGUAUUUUCUGACUUAUUCCAUCUACUUCGUGUGAUUUUUCCUAUAAUGUAGAUGUGAAAACCAAAGCUAAGGGAGACAAAAUGACUGCAUCAAGGCCACACCCAGUGAGGGUAGAGACAGGACCAUACCUGAGCUAUCUGACUCCAGGCUCUGCAAUGGAAGUGGCGUCAUUCGUCUGGGGUAAUACCCAAGGUUCGUUGCCUCAUGCCAAGGAAAUCAAGAACGUGGACACACAAAGAGUGAGGUUAACAGUGGAGGUUUAAUAGGUGAAAGAAAGAGAAAAGCUCUCUGUCCUGCAGAGAGAGAGGGGCUCCCAAGUGGGUCUUCUGGUCCUGUGGUGAAAUGCAUGGGGUUUUACAGAUAAGCUUGAGGAGGCAGUGUCUGAUUUGCAUAGGGGGCGAGAGAUUGGUCAGACCAGGUGGGCCAUUUGCAUAACACGUGAAGAAGCUGGCCGUCCCACCCUAAUCUUUUAUUAUGCAGAUGGCAUCUCUAUCUGGAUGGUGGCUUGUUGCCUGCUUCUUUACUGUACACGUGGUUGACAAAGAAAAGGGAAGAUGGAGCCUCCAUGUUGAACAUGUCUGGCUCACAGGUAGGCUUUUCGUUUUGGCCCAGCUGCUGGCAUUCCCCAGUGCAAGCUUCUAGCUUGCUUUUCUAUGUCUGCAGCUUGAUUUUUCAGGCUGCUCUUUGUUAGAAAAGAAAUGAUUUGGGGGCUGCUUUUUGUUAAAAGGGAAACCUUGCCAAGGACUCUCUUCUCCUCACUAACUGCCUAAACAAUUUCUUUCUAGCACCUGUAUCACAAUGCUAACUACAACAUGAUCAUCCCCCUCAGGGAAGUACAAGGUUAUUUAAAAGGACCAUCCAGGAAGCCUGAAGUACAUAUUGUAAACCAAAAAUAAAAUUCUAAGGCCUCACCAACUAUCUGGAUGGACUCUUCCUCUCAGCCAAGGGUAUUCCAAAGUUAACCUGAAAACCUAGUUCAGGCCAUGAUGGGAAGGGGGAGCCAGGCAUGCCUCAUGAUACCCUCCUCCCUUCUGGAACUACUGGAACAGACUCAGUGUGAUAAAAAUAAAAAGAGAAAAAAAUAUAUUUAUAGUCCAUUCUCUCUAAAGCCUGCUAACUGGAGGCUUCAUCUGCACAAUAAAACUUCCCUCUCCACAACCCUUUAUCUUAGCCUGGAUAUUCCUGUCUAUCAAUGAUAACUCUUUCAGCCAAUUGCCAAUCAGAAAACCUUUGAAUCCACCCAUGACUUGGAAGUCCCCACUUCCAGUUGUCCCACCUUUGUGGACCAAACCAAUGUACAUCUUAUGUGUAUUCAUUGAUGUCUUGUGUCUCCCUAAAAUAUACAAAAACAAGUUGUGGCCCAACCACCUUAGGCACAUUUUCUCAGGAUCUCCUGAGGGCUGUGUCACAGGACAUUGCUCACUUAUAUUUGGCUCAGAAUAAAUCUCUUCAAAUAUUUUACAGAGUUUGGCUCUUUUCAUUGACAAUGUACACAAACAACAUGGGAGAACCAAAAAUGUGUAAAUAAUUUUU